UCAGUGGUAGAAUUCUCGCCUGC
rnacentral:piRNA from 2 species